rnacentral:rRNA from 1 species
GAUGAACGCUGACAGAAUGCUUAACACAUGCAAGUCGACUUGAACUUCGGUUUGGUGGCGGGCCGGUGAGUAACGCGUAAAGAACUUGCCUCACAGCUACGGACAACCUUUGGAAACGGAUUCCAAUACCUGAUAUUUUGAUUAUAUUGCAUCGUAUAAUUAUUAAAGCUAUAUCCGCUGUGAGAGAGCUUUUCGUUCCAUUAGCUAGUUGGAGAGGUAACAGCUCACCAAGGCGAUGAAGGGUAGCCGGCCGCAGAGGGUGAUCGGCCACAAGGGGACUGAGACAAGGCCCUUACCACUACGGGAGGCAGGAGAGGGGAAUAUUGGACAAUGGACCGAGAGUCUGAUCCAGCCAUUCUGUGUGCAGGAUGAAGUUUUUCGGAAUGUAAAGUGCUUUCAGUUGCGAAGAAAAAAAUGAAGGUACCCACAGAAAAAGUCACGGCUAAAUACGUG